rnacentral:rRNA from 1 species
CCUACGGGUGGCAGCAGUCGAGAAUCAUUCACCAUGGGGGAAACCCUGAUGGUGCGACGCCGCGUGGGGGAAUGAAGGUCUUCGGAUUGUAAACCUCUGUCAUGUGGGAGCAAAUUAAAAAGAUAGUACCACAAGAGGAAGAGACGGCUAACUCUGUGCCAGCAGCCUCGGUAAUACAGAGGUCUCAAGCGUGGUUCGGAAUCACGGGGCGUAAAGCGUGCGUAGGCUGUUUCGUAAGUCGUGUGUGAAAGGCGCGGGCUCAACCCGCGGACGGCACAUGAUACUGGGAGACUAGAGUAAGGGAAGGGGAAGCGGAAUUCGCGGUGUAGCAGUGAAAUGCGUAGAUAUCGAGAGGAACACUCGUGGCGAAGGCGGGUUCCUGGACAUUAACUGACGCUGAGGCACGAAGGCCAGGGGAGCGAAAGGGAUUAGAUACCCUUGUAGUC